GAUGAACGCUAGCGGCAGGCUUAACACAUGCAAGUCGAGGGGCAGCGGGGGGCGCGCUUGCGCGUCCCGCCGGCGACCGGCGCACGGGUGAGUAACACGUAUGCAACCUGCCCCCGCCAGGGGUACAACCCUCCGAAAGGGGGGCUGAUACCGCGUACCUCCCCCGGGGGCAUCCCCGGGGGAGGAAAGCCCUACGGGGCGGGCGGGGAUGGGCAUGCGGCGCAUUAGGAAGACGGCGGUGUGACGGACCACCGUUCCGACGAUGCGUAGGGGUUCUGAGAGGAAGGCCCCCCACACUGGUACUGAGACACGGACCAG
rnacentral:rRNA from 1 species